CAUAAUACCUUUGUGGCCUUCCUUGCAACCAUGGUAACAAGCACUUAUCCGUUUACAUAGGCAUUCAAUUUUAUUCUUGAACAAAUCAAUUUCAGGAUUAAGUCUGUCUGAAUCCUAAAUAAUCGUGAAAUAUAAGGACGUCAGUGUCUUCAAACAGUUAUACGCUACGCAUUAUUGUCAUGUUUUUAAAAACUUUGCUUGGAAAAAUAUUUUCGCAUCUUGCUCUCUUUUAUUGUUUCAAGCAAAAAGAGAUAAUCGUUUUUUGAGGGUGGAUUGCAACCACCUACAGGUCACAGUUUUCCUUUUUUAAUAAACUGAUGAAUUCCAAACAAGAUUAACCGGAUUAUUAUUGCCAAAUAGGAAAGAAGCGAAUAAUAAAAAGCCUCACUCCAGUGCGAUCCAAUCGGCUGGCACCCCACAACUGCAAUACCCAGUCUCUUUUCAAUCUCAUGCUUCAAGCGUUUACGUUCCAGGGACCUUAUCGCAUAUACAUGAUCUAGAGCAUUGAUGCCAUUAGAUAAAGGUCAAAGUUUACUAAAGGUUUAUCUUAACGUCAGUUGUCCAAAUGGAUUUGAGAAAGACAAGCAAAGGAGCGCUUGGAGCAAAGCUCAGUCAAAGAGACACGCAGUUUACUGUGGCGAUACGAAAAGCGGAAAUUCGCAACAGCAAUGAAAACAAAAAUAUGAAAAAGUCAAUUGAACAGUUCUCAAAAGAGCACCAGCAAGUUUUGAAAAAUCUUAAACGUGAACAGACUUAUUUGAUGCGAAAAUUAAAUUUGCGAAAACAUCCAACAACAUUAGCUGAAACUGGAAAAAAGAACACAAUUUUUGAAAGCACUGACGACUCUCCAGAGGCUGAAAAGUUUUCAGAGAAUCACUUACCUCAUAUCGAUACGAAAGAGGAAAGAAAAAGAUUUCCUGCACGGUUUGGUAGCCAAAGUCAAAAAUCUGAUGACCAAAAGCCGGAAAACCGAUCGUUUUUUGGGAGGUUUUUGCCGAAAUUUGUAGGAAAGGAUUCACCGCUCAAACGCGAUAGGGCUGUCACUGAUUCCAGGGUACAAUCGAGAGGGAACAACUUUGGGUUAACAUCCAGCAAAAAUAUUGAAAGGCGACCGUCAAAUCGUGGACUGAAUUUGACCUCCUCGUUUCCACCAAGAAAUCUGCAUCAUUCGGUCUCUUACGAAGCUGAUCUAUCGACUUUUGCGUCGUCAGUGAAACGAGACGAAAGCAAUCGCUUGAAAAGAAAACACUCAGUCGAUUUACUCCAUAGGCCGUCUCAUUUUACUUCGCAAACAUCAAAUGAGAAAGCUGAAGAAGGAUCUUUCUUUAAGACUAGCCUAUAAAGAACAUAAACUUUAGAAUUAUUCGUCAAUCAGGCUCGGGGGGGGGGGGAAUUAUUUAGGGGUACCUUUUUUUCUGAAAUUUGCCGAAUUAUCGGUAUCAGUUUUUGAAAUAUGUGUAGAACUUUGGGUACCAUUUGAAUAAAGAUGCAGAAUUAUAGGUACCAUUUUGGAAAAAUGUUGCAAAAUUAUUAGAUUGGAGAUUUUUGGGCAAAGGACUUGCAAAAUUUGCUUGGUGAUUUUUUGUGCUUUAAAAAUGUUACUUGCUUAGCGAAAGUUUGGGUAUGGUUUUCAUCAUAUUUGCGGAAUUACUGGUCACAUUUUUCAGACAUGUGCAGAAUUAUGGGUCCAAAUUUUUUACCCAAAAUAGCACGUCUCCGUCCACAAUUAGGCUUAGUUGCCCACUCCCCCUCCCCCCCUCCGAGCAAUCAGGCUUACGUGUGCACAUUACGUGUAGCUGCUCAGAAUUGAAUUUUGAUUCAAAUAAAUUUUGUAAAUCUGCUGCAUAAAGCCUGAACCUGCUUGUAAAAAGAAACGGUUGCUUGAAGAACAAAAAAUAUGAUUUUAGGUUACAUGGUUUUAUAUUGGUUUGCUAAAUCUCAUCAAAAUGGUUAAAGGGUGCACAAUUCAAAAGUGUAGAAUUUUUAUGAAGAGUCAUGCAACUAGUUUGAUAAUUCGUUACGCAAGCUUUUUUAUAAGGUUAAAAAAGUAAACGAGUUGUUAAAAUUUUUGCAAUGUACAUAAUGAUUUUGUUUAUAGAAACUUUAUUUUUUC